rnacentral:rRNA from 1 species
UACGGAGGGAGCAAGCGUUACUCGGAAUUAUUGGGCGUAAAGGGCGCGUAGGCGAUCCGACAAGUCUGGUGUGAAAGCCCACAUGUUAACUGUGGAAGUGCAUUAGAAACUGUUGGAUUUGAGUUCAGGAGAGGAAGGCAGAAUUCCCGGUGUAGCGGUGAAAUGCGUAGAGAUCGGGGAGGAAUACCGGUGGCGAAGGCGGCGCUCUGGACCGAGACUGACGCUGAGGCGCGAAAGCGUGGGGAGCAAACAGG